AAUGAACGCUGGCGGCAUGCCUAACACAUGCAAGUCGAACGAGACCCUUCGGGUCUAGUGGCGCACGGGUGCGUAACACGUGAGCAACCUGCCCCUGACUCUGGGAUAACCCCGGGAAACCGGAGCUAAUACCGGAUAUGACACGCUCGGGCAUCCGAUGCGUGUGGAAAGAUUUAUCGGUUGGGGAUGGGCUCGCGGCCUAUCAGCUUGUUGGUGGGGUAACGGCCUACCAAGGCGACGACGGGUAGCCGGCCUGAGAGGGCGACCGGCCACACUGGGACUGAGACACGGCCCAGACUCCUACGGGAGGCAGCAGUGGGGAAUAUUGCGCAAUGGGCGAAAGCCUGACGCAGCGACGCCGCGUGAGGGAUGAAGGCCUUC
rnacentral:rRNA from 1 species